rnacentral:rRNA from 1 species
AUAUCAGUCAUGCAUAGCAUAUCAAUAAGCGGAGGAAAAGAAACUAACAAGGAUUCCCUUAGUAACGGCGAGUGAAGCGGGAAGAGCUCAAAUUUGAAAUCUUCAAGGUUUUACCUUGACGAAUUGUAGUUUAAAGAAGUGUUUUCUGUUGAAGUUUUGGUAAAAGUUCUUUGGAAUAGGACAUCAUAGAGGGUGAGAAUCCCGUAUUUGACCAUUACUUUCAGCUUUGUGAUACACUUUCAAAGAGUCGGAUUGUUUGGGAAUGCAGUCCAAAAUGGGUGGUAAAUUUCAUCUAAAGCUAAAUAUUGGCGAGAGACCGAUAGCGAACAAGUACCUUGAGGGAAAGAUGAAAAGAACUUUGAAAAGAGAGUUAAACAGUACGUGAAAUUGUCAAAAGGGAAGCGUUUGACACCAGUGUUGUUUUCUCGAAAAUCAAUUAAAAAGAGUUGGAUUUUGUGUUGUAUUGACUUUAUCAGCUUUCUUCACUCUUUUCCAGCUUUUUUUAAUGCACUUUUCGUUUAACAAGUCAACAUCAGUUUCUUUUGUUGUAAAAAGGUCAUUGGAAGGUGGCUUUCUCUUCGGAGGAAGUGUUUAUAGCCUUUGACUCAUGCAAUCGGAGAGACUGAGGUCUGCAGCGUAGAUCCUUCGGGGUUAGAUACAUUUGUGCUAAGUUAUAGCUUUUCAUAGACAACUUGUUGACUAUGUUUAGUCUUGUAGCUUACUCGCUUAUGCUAUUUUACCUACGCUUAGGAUGUUGAACUCUAUCACACACAG